GGAAAGAGCCCAGCACUGAAUCCCGCGGUUGUCACGGCCGCGGGAGAUGUGGUGUUCGGGAGGUUCCGCUUUCUCGUCGUCGCAUCUCCUGUCCAAGUUCGUCUUGAACGGGGCCGUUUUCCCGUAGAGGGUGCCAGGCCCGUAGCGACGGAGGGCGGCGGCGAGAGGGACUCUCCUCAGAGUCGGGUUGCUUGAGAGUGCAGCCCUAAGUGGGUGGUAAACUCCAUCUAAGGCUAAAUAUUACCGCGAGACCGAUAGCGAACAAGUACCG
rnacentral:rRNA from 4 species